AUGCUUCUCCACUGUCCCCAGCUGCUCCUUAUCCACCAUAGCAUAUGCUUCUCUGCUGUCCUUAGCUGCUCCCUUUACAGCACAGUCCAUGCUUCUCCACUGUCCCCAGCUGCUCCAUAUCCGCCACAGCAUAUGCUUCUCCACUCUCCCCAGCUGCUCCUUAUCCACCACAGCAUAUGCUUCUCCACUGUCCCCAGCUGCUCCAUAUCCACCACAGCAUAUGCUUCUCCACUCUCCCCAGCUGCUCCUUAUCCGCCACAGCAUAUGCUUCUCCACUGUCCCCAGCUGCUCCUUAUCCACCACAGCAUAUGCUUCCUCCACUGUCCCCAGCUGCUCCAUAUCCACCACAGCAUAUGCCUUCUCCACUGUCCCCAGCUGCCUCCUUAUCCACCACACCAUAUGCUUCUCUCCACUCUCCCCAGCUGCUCCUUAUCCACCACACCAUAUGCUUCUCUGCCCUCCCCAGCUGCUCCAUAUCCGCCACAGCAUAUGCUUCUCCACUGUCCCCAGCUGCUCCUUAUCCGCCACAGCAUAUGCUUCUCCACUCUCCCCAGCUGCUCCUUAUCCACCACAGCAUAUGCUUCUCCACUGUCCCCAGCUGCUCCUUACCCACCACAGCAUAUGCUUCUCCACUGUCCCCAGCUGCUCCUUAUCCACCACAGCAUAUGCUUCUCCACUCUCCCCAGCUGCUCCAUAUCCACCACAGCAUAUGCUUCUCUGCCCUCCCCAGCUGCUCCUUAUCCGCCACAGCAUAUGCUUCUCCACUCUCCCCAGCUGCUCCUUAUCCACCACACCAUAUGCUUCUCCACUCUCCCCAGCUGCUCCUUAUCCACCACAGCAUAUGCUUCUCCACUGUCCCCAGCUGCUCCAUAUCCGCCACAGCAUAUGCUUCUCCACUCUCCCCAGCUGCUCCUUAUCCACCACAGCAUAUGCUUCUCCACUGUCCCCAGCUGCUCCAUAUCCACCACAGCAUAUGCUUCUCCACUCUCCCCAGCUGCUCCUUAUCCACCACACCAUAUGCUUCUCCACUCUCCCCAGCUGCUCCUUAUCCACCACACCAUAUGCUUCUCCACUGUCCCCAGCUGCUCCAUAUCCGCCACAGCAUAUGCCUCCUUAUCCACCACGCAUAUGCUUCUCCACUCUCCCCAGCUGCUCCUUAUCCGCCACACCAUAUGCUUCUCCACUGUCCCCAGCUGCUCCUUACCCACCACACCAUAUGCUUCUCUGCUGUCCUUAGCUGCUCCCUUUACAGCACAGUCCAUGAUUCUCCACUCUCCCCUGCUGCUCCUUAUCCGCCACACCAUAUGCUUCUCCACUCUCCCCAGCUGCUCCUUAUCCACCACAGCAUAUGCUUCUCUGCCCUCCCCAGCUGCUCCUUACCCACCACACCAUAUGCUUCUCUGCUGUCCUUAGCUGCUCCCUUUACAGCACAGUCCAUGAUUCUCCACUCUCCCCUGCUGCUCCUUAUCCGCCACACCAUAUGCUUCUCUGCCCUCCCCAGCUGCUCCUUAUCCGCCACACAUAUGCUUCUCCACUCUCCCCAGCUGCUCCAUAUCCGCCACAGCAUAUGCUCUCCAC
ensembl:lncRNA